rnacentral:lncRNA from 1 species
GAAAAUUUAGAAUUUUAUUUUUAAAAUGAAAGGAAUAGGUAUUCAUAAUUUCAGCACUAAUAUCCACAAUUAAUAUAUCAGUUCAUACUGUUCCAGAUUUCUAUUUGCACAUACACUUACAGAGAAUUUACCUAUACAAACUGUUUAAAAAUAGAUUUAAAAUAAAAUAUAUAUUUAUUGUAUCUUUUGGUAUUGAACAUACAUCCUUGUAUCAUUUCUAACUAUACAGAAAUAUACAAAGCUGAAAGUGAAAAUACUGUGAUUUCCCUAUAACUACUAUUUAUUUCAUGCACACCUUUAAAGAUACUUUAUGUCGGAUGAAUUACCCACUCUUUUUUUACACACAGUAUAUAGUAUUUUAUUGUAUGAUAAUAUAUUUCACCAAUGUUGUGUAAACACACUGAUUAUCUUUAAAAAUAAUUUUAAGAUGCUGCAGUGCAUAUACAUUUUAUACACAUGUAUUUUUGCAUCCUUAUCUAAUUAUUUUCAUAGGGGAGGUGUCUAAAGAAAACAUUUCUAAAUAAAGGUGGAAAUAUUUAGAAUGAUAUAUAUUUUCAAAUUGUCUUCCUAAUAUAAUAAUUUACACUUUGACUGACAUGAGAGUGCAUUUUCUUAGCUCUCUGAUGAUGAUAAGGUUUAUCAUUAUUUUUCAUUUUUACAAUAUGAUAAGGCAGAAGUACAAUCUCAUUAUUUCAAUAGAAUUUCUUUGAUUACUAGUGAGCUUAAGCAUCCAUUUUUAUGCCCACUGGCCUUGGGCUUCUUUCGUAAAAUGCAUGCUCUGGCCCAGUCUGCUCCCCUUCCCCCACUGGGGCUGUUAAUCUUUUCCUUUUUGCUUAGUCAGAGUUCUUUUUCAUUUUUCAUCUUUUACAUGGGGUAAGUUUGAUUCAGGCUUUCAUCCUUUCUUGCCUAAGAGACUGCAUAUAUAUUUUUAUAUUUAAUAUAGUCUCCAUUGGUCUUUUAAUGUCCUUCUUGGAAGCUGGCUCUUUUUCUCUCUCCCUCCCUCCUUCCCUCUCUUUUCUCUUCUCUUUUCUCUUUGUUUUUUUCUCUCUUUAUCUCUCCCUCUCUUUUUUUUCAGUACAGAAGUUUUUAAUUUUGAACGAGUCGAAUCUAUCAUUCUGGGCCUGGCGCCGCGUCAGCAGAGGGGGCGGGGAGGCGAGCGCGGAACUGGGGGAGGGGACGGGGCGGGGAGGAGCGGGCAUAGCCGUUGCAGGAGUUGCUGGGAGUGCGCGCGGUGCCAUCACUCGGCGGCGGAGGAGGCCCAGGGACGUGAACGCAGACACUUCUCCCGCGGCCUACAGAGCCUUCUCCCCACCGGAGGACCAGGAAACCGCAGUCUUCAUCACAGAGUCUUUGAGGGAUUGCAGAACGAAUCCAUUUCCUUGGUGCAUUCAUAAAAUGGUUCAUCUAGUGAAGACAAUGAAGAUUAUUGACGCUGCUGCCCUGCUUUUUCUGAUGUCCUGCACCAGAAUUUUGUUCAGGAGAUUGAAGAAUGUAAGGCUUUGCCCUUCGGUGAUGUCAUAGAUAGCUAGGCAGGUACUAAAGUUUUUUUUUUUAAGAUUUCAUUUAUUUAUUUAUUUAGAUCAUGUGAAUGGGAGGAGGGGCAGAGGGAGAGGGAGAGAGAGAGAAUCUUAAGCAGACUCUGCACUGAUCAUGAGUCUGACAUGUAGCUUGAUCUCAUGACCAUGAGUUCGUGACCUGAGCUGAAAUCAAGAGUCGGAUGCUAAACCACCUGAGCCACCCAGGGGCCCAAGAAUUACAGUCAUGUUUUUAUGGACACGUCAUUAUGAUGGAAUUAGGUUUACCUAACAGGCUGCAUAUUUUUUGUGUACUUUACCUGUUUAUAGAAGUGCUUAUCUUUAUAUGGAGUUGUCGCAUCUAUUCUACCAUCAUAUUUUCUUGCCUUAGAGUAUUUAUUAGUCUGCCUAUUGGUCUAUUUCUCUCAGAAGAGUUUUUCAGCAGCUUCACAUGCACAGUGUCCUUAGGCACAUUUUUAUGUAAGGUUAGCCAGUUUUUUUCCGUACCAUUACAUAAGCUCCUUCCUAUACUACUUUCUUAUUUUAUAAUUAUUUCAAAUACUUUAUUUUGUGAAGCCAAUUCAUAUUCCUUAUUUUAUUAUUUUUUUAAAUUCCAGUAUAAUUAACAUACAGUGUUAUCAUAGUUACAGGUGUACAAUAUAGUGAUUAAACAAUUCCAUACAUUAUUCGGUGAUCAUCAGGAUGAGUGUCCUCUUAAUCCCCUUCACCUGUUUGACCCAUUCCCUAUCCACCUACCCUCUCUCGACCAUGUUUGUUAAUAUAUAUAGUUUAUAUAUAUAUAAAUAACCAUGUUUGUUAAUAGAUAUAGUUAAUGUGGUUUUUGGUUUGUCUCUUUUUCCUUGUUUGUUUCUUAAACAUAUUAGUGAAAUCAUAUGUUACUUAUCUUUCUCUGAUUGACUUAUUUUGCUUAGCAUUACACUCUUCAGCUCCAUCUGUGUUGUUGCAAAUGGCAAGAUUUCAUUCACCUUUGUGGCUAAGUAAUACAAUGUGUAUAUAAACCACAUCUUCUUAAAUAAGAGAGGGCAACAAACCAUGAGAGACUCUUGGCUCUGGGAAACAAACUGAG